UACAUUUUAGUGUAUGUUGCACAGAAAUUUUUGGGGUUUUUGGUAAUAGUUUAAUUCUAUUAAAUGUAA
rnacentral:tRNA from 1 species